rnacentral:rRNA from 1 species
AUUGAACGCUAGCGGGAUGCCUUACACAUGCAAGUCGAACGGAGUGGCGAACGGGUGAGUAAUGUAUCGGAACGUGACCAGUAGCGGGGGAUAACUACGCGAAAGCGUAGCUAAUACCGAAUAAUCUUGGAGAGGCCGAUAUCGGAUUGGCUGGUUGGUGGGGGAACGGCUCACCAAGGCCACGAUCCGUAGCUUGUGUGAGAGGACGAUAGGCCAUACCUGGACUAGGACACGGCCCGUACUCCUACGGGAGGCAGCAGUGGGGAAUUUUGGACAAUGGGGUAAACCCUGAUCCAGCCAUCCCGCGUGUGCGAUGCAGGCCUUCGGGUUGUAAAGCACUUUUGGCAGGAAAGCGGUACCUGCAGAAUAAGCACCGGCUAACUACGGGCCAGCAGCCGCGGUAAUAC